UAUGGAAUAUAUGAAGAGUUUGGGGUCUUCUGUCAUUGAAAUAAUCAAAGCCAAGAAUAAGCGUGAAAUGUUGGAGCAAAAAAUGGACGACCUACUGAGUCAUCAGAGACAAUUUGUCGAAAAUAAUCGUCGGUCCUUAGAACAGAAAAUAAAAGAAAAGGAAAAGUCUUCUACAUUUCUAAGAAGUGUUUCAUCAGCUACAUGACUUACUGACAGGGGAUCUGCCGUGCGACCAGAUAAACCAGGACUUGCAGCAAGCCAACGAUGCUCUACGAGCAGAACUCAACAAAGUGCUGAUGAGGUUGCCAUCUACCUACAUUCACUGACCCAGGACAACGAGCCAGAGUAUGAGUCAGACGGACUCCCAGAGGUGGUCAGAAAAGGCUUUGCUGAUAUUCCUACUGGGAAAACCAACCCCUGUGUUUUGCGCAGAACAGCGCUAAACCUAAAGACCAGUGCCCGUCUUGCUGCUCAAAGCCAAAAUUUGUCACCAUAUGGCCAACGUUUACAAAAAGGCAGGUCAGCUAAUUUUGCCAAGAUCUCUAAACCGACAGCUGGUGGCAGCAAAUCACCAAAGGUAGAUGAUACUCAGCAGUGCCAAGCAGAAACAGCUAUUGAACCCAUGGAAUCUAGUUCAAGAUCUC